rnacentral:tRNA from 42 species
ACAGAAGCCGGGAUAGCUCA